rnacentral:rRNA from 1 species
GACGAACGCUGGCGGCGUGCUUAACACAUGCAAGUCGAACGGAAAGGCCCUGCUUUUGUGGGGUGCUCGAGUGGCGAACGGGUGAGUAACACGUGAGUAGCCUGCCCUUGACUUUGGGAUAACUUCAGGAAACUGGGGCUAAUACCGGAUAGGAGCUCCUGCUGCAUGGUGGGGGUUGGAAAGUUUCGGCGGUUGGGGAUGGACUCGCGGCUUAUCAGCUUGUUGGUGGGGUAGUGGCUUACCAAGGCUUUGACGGGUAGCCGGCCUGAGAGGGUGACCGGCCACACUGGGACUGAGAUACGGCCCAGACUCCUACGGGAGGCAGCAGUGGGGAAUAUUGCACAAUGGGCGGAAGCCUGAUGCAGCAACGCCGCGUGCGGGAUGACGGCCUUCGGGUUGUAAACCGCUUUCGCCUGUGACGAAGCGUGAGUGACGGUAAUGGGUAAAGAAGCACCGGCUAACUACGUG